CUCAGAGCAGAGCUCAGGGCAUCUCCACCAUGGCCUGGACCCCUCUCCUGCUGUCUCUCCUCUCUCUCUGUACAGGUUACGUGGCCUCUUCUGCACUGACUCAGCCCUCCGCAGUGUCCGUGUCCUUGGGACAGAUGGCUAGGAUCACCUGCCAAGGAGGCAGCUUAGGAAGCAGUUAUGCUUACUGGUACCAGCAGAAAACUGGGAUUUCAAAAUUGCCAGGCCAGGUCCCUGUGCUGGUCAUCUAUGAUGAUAACAGCGGGCACUCAGGGAUCCCUGAGUGGUUCUCUGGGUCUGACUCAGGCUACACGGUCACCCUGACCAUCAGCGGGACCCAGGUCGAAGAUGAAGCUGACUAUUACUGUCAGUCUUAUGACAGCAGUGCCAAUGACCACAGUGACCCAGGCAGAUGGGGAAGUGGGACACAAACCCCCUCCAUCUCUGUCACCCUCUCUUCCAGCCCCAGGAGGUCUGUAGACAAAGCAGUGACAGAUCUGGCUGGGUCCCUAUAG